UAGGGAAUCUUCCGCAAUGGGCGAAAGCUUGACGGAGCAACGCCGCGUGAGUGAUGAAGGUCUUCGGAUCGUAAAACUCUGUUAUUAGGGAAGAACAAAUGUGUAAGUAACUAUGUACGUCUUGACGGUACCUAAUCAGAAAGCCACGGCUAACUACGUGCCAGCAGCCGCGGUAAUACGUAGGUGGCAAGCGUUAUCCGGAAUUAUUGGGCGUAAAGCGCGCGUAGGCGGUUUUUUAAGUCUGAUGUGAAAGCCCACGGCUCAACCGUGGAGGGUCAUUGGAAACUGGAAAACUUGAGUGCAGAAGAGGAAAGUGGAAUUCCAUGUGUAGCGGUGAAAUGCGCAGAGAUAUGGAGGAACACCAGUGGCGAAGGCGACUUUCUGGUCUGUAACUGACGCUGAUGUGCGAAAGCGUGGGGAUCAAACAGG
rnacentral:rRNA from 1 species